GAAAUUAAGUAAGAUGUUUCUUACAGGAAAUAUGCUUAAUGGCACAGUACCUUCCUGGGUUCCUCAUACCAUUGAAGACAAGGCGGACUUGUCAUAUAAUAAUAAUUUUGAUGAUGGUCCGAAGAAAGGAGAAGGAAAGCUGAACAUGUAAUAACGGCAACUUCAUUUUCUUCUUCCUUUUUUUUCACUUGCAAGAAUAUUAUUGUCUAU